rnacentral:tRNA from 1 species
AGAAAGUUAGUCUAACCAAGAUAGUUGAUUUCGACUCAACAGAUUAUAGUUAUAACCCUAUAACUUUCUU